CACCGGGGGGAACAUGUGGUUUAUUCGAUGCAACGCGAAGAACCUUACCUACUCUUGACAUCCAGAGAACUUUCCAGAGAUGGUUUGGUGCCUUCGGGAACUCUGAGACAGGUGCUGCAUGGCUGUCGUCAGCUCGUGUUGUGAAAUGUUGGGUUAAGUCCCGCAACGAGCGCAACCCUUAUCCUUUGUUGCCAGCGGUUAGGCCGGGAACUCAAAGGAGACUGCCAGUGAUAAACUGGAGGAAGGUGGGGAUGACGUCAAGUCAUCAUGGCCCUUACGAGUAGGGCUACACACGUGCUACAAUGGCGCAUACAAAGAGAAGCGACCUCGCGAGAGCAAGCGGACCUCAUAAAGUGCGUCGUAGUCCGGAUUGGAGUCUGCAACUCGACUCCAUGAAGUCGGAAUCGCUAGUAAUCGUGGAUCAGAAUGCCACGGUGAAUACGUUCCCGGGCCUUGUACACACCCGCCCCGUAA
rnacentral:rRNA from 1 species